GACGAACGCUGGCGGCGUGCUUAACACAUGCAAGUCGAACGGAAAGGCCCUGCUUUUGUGGGGUGCUCGAGUGGCGAACGGGUGAGUAACACGUUAGUAACCUGCCCUUGACUUUGGGAUAACUUCAGGAAACUUGGGCUAAUACCGGAUAGGAGCUCCUGCGGCAUGGUGGGGGUUGGAUAGUUUCGGCGGUUGGGGAUGUACUCGCGGCUUAUCAGCUUGUUGGUGGGGUAGUGGAUUACCAAGGCUUUGACGGGUAGCCGGCCUGAGAGGGGGACCGGCCACAUUGGGACUGAGAUACGGCCCAGACUACUACGGGAGGCAGCAGUGGGGAAUAUUGCACAAUGGGAGGAAGCCUGAUGCAGCAAAGCCGCGUGCGGGAUGACGGCCUUCGGGUUGUAAACCGAUUUCGCCUGUGACGAAGAGUGAGUGACGGUAAUGGGUAAAGAAGCACCGGCUAACUACGUG
rnacentral:rRNA from 1 species